UGGGCAAUGGGCGAAAGCCUGACCCAGCAACGCCGCGUGAGGGAUGAAGUAUUUCGGUAUGUAAACCUCGAAAGAAUGGGAAGAAUAAAUGACGGUACCAUUUAUAAGCUCCGGCUAACUACGUGCCAGCAGCCGCGGUAAUACGUAGGGAGCAAGCGUGGUUCGGAUUUACUGGGCGUAAAGGGCGCGUAGGCGGCGCGGUAAGUCACUUGUGAAAUCUCUGAGCUUAACUCAGAACGGCCAAGUGAUACUGCUGUGCUAGAGUGCGGAAGAGGCUACCGGAAUUCUUGGUGUAGCGGUGAAAUGCGUAGAUAUCAAGAGGAACUCCUGACGCGAAGGCGGGUUGCUGGGCCGACACUGACGCUGAUGCGCGAAAGCCAGGGGAGCAAACG
rnacentral:rRNA from 1 species